GGGCCCGUAGUCUAGGAGUAAAACACGUCCAUGGCAUGGAUGAGUCCGGGGUGCAAAUCCCCGCGGGUCCA
rnacentral:tRNA from 1 species